rnacentral:lncRNA from 1 species
AUAAGAAGUUUGAGCUGAUGCCUGAUAUUUCAAUUUAUGACAACGGUAUUAAGCCAACCAAACAAAAGGCUUUUGCCAAGAACUUCGAGCUUAUGCCUGAUCUUUCAAUUUACGACAACGGUAUUAAGCCAACCAAACAAAAGGCUUUUGCCAAGAACUUCGAGCUUAUGCCUGAUCUUUCAAUUUACGACAACGGUAUUAAGCCAACCAAACAAAAGUUCUUCGCCAAGAACUUUGAGCUCAUGCCUGAUGUUUCAAUUUAUGACAAUGAUAUUAAACCAACGAAGAGGAGUUCAUAUGCCAAGGACUUUGAGCUGAAGGCUGAUAUUUCAAUUCAUGAACCG